CUUGAGAAUUCCAUCUUGGGCUCUUGACAUUUUCUUCCUCCGUGCCUGAUCAGAGGUCUGCUUGGGCUUUUGCUUCUCUGCAGCUUGUUGGGCUGCAAACUUCUGUCUUUCCUUAAUCCUUUGGAGCUUGAUUCGAUCCUUCCACAUUCUCUUCUCCAACUCUUCAGCUUCAAUUUCUUCAUCACUAACAUCUUUCUCUGCAAUGUUGUCACACCUGAUGUCGUCGACUUCAAUAUCGGAACUGAUAUCAGCUCCAAUCUCUUCCAACUCACCCAUCAAAUAUUGCAAAAGAAUGGAAACUAAAUGUGAAAAAUACGAAACCCUACAAUUUGGGAAAUGAAAUUGCUGCGUUAUGGUAGAAGACGACCAUAAGUAUCGAUGCUCCUCAAUUUCAACAGAGAGAUAAUAGAAGAAAUGGACCCAAUAUGUAUUUUGUGCCAGAGAAAUUAAAAAACAAACACUUUUGCCAAAUUCAAUGAACAAAAAUUUAAUAAGAGUCGAGAGAGAGAGAGAGAGAGAGAGA
rnacentral:misc_RNA from 1 species